GGGGAAUAUUGGACAAUGGGCGAAAGCCUGAUCCAGCCAUGCCGCGUGUGUGAAGAAGGUCUUCGGAUUGUAAAGCACUUUAAGUUGGGAGGAAGGGCUGCAAGUUAAUACCUUGUAGUUUUGACGUUACCAGCAGAAUAAGCACCGGCUAACUUCGUGCCAGCAGCCGCGGUAAUACGAAGGGUGCAAGCGUUAAUCGGAAUUACUGGGCGUAAAGCGCGCGUAGGUGGUUUGGUAAGAUGGAUGUGAAAUCCCCGGGCUCAACCUGGGAACUGCGCUUGUGACUGCCAGGCUAGAGUACGGCAGAGGGGGGUGGAAUUCCACGUGUAGCAGUGAAAUGCGUAGAGAUGUGGAGGAACACCGAUGGCGAAGGCAGCCCCCUGGGCCUGUACUGACGCUCAUGCACGAAAGCGUGGGGAGCAAACA
rnacentral:rRNA from 1 species